rnacentral:rRNA from 1 species
GUGCCAGCCGCCGCGGUAAUACAGAGGUCCCGAGCGUUGUUCGGAUUCACUGGGCGUAAAGGGUGCGUAGGUGGCUUGGUAAGUUUGAUGUGAAAGCUCAGGGCUCAACCCUGAAAUGGCAUUGAAUACUAUUGAGCUGGAGGUUUGGAGGGGGGACUGGAAUUCUUGGUGUAGCAGUGAAAUGCGUAGAUAUCAAGAGGAACACCAGUGGCGAAGGCGAGUCCCUGGACAACACCUGACACUGAGGCACGAAAGCCGGGGGAGCAAACAGGAUUAGAUACCCUAGUAGUCC